rnacentral:rRNA from 1 species
AUUGAACGCUGGCGGUAUGCUUAACACAUGCAAGUCGAACGGUAGCAGCAUUUGGGAAACCAAAUGGCUGACGAGUGGCGGACGGGUGAGAAACGCGUAGGGAUCUGUCUAGAGGAGAGGGAUAACACUGGGAAACUAGUGCUAAUACCACGUAAGCUCUACGGAGGAAAGGUUGGAGCAAUCCAGUCGCCUUUAGGUGAACCUGCGUUGGAUUAGCUAGUUGGUAGGGUAAAGGCCUACCAAGGCGACGAUCCAUAGCUGUUCUGAGAGGAAGAUCAGCCACACUGGGACUGAGACACGGCCCAGACUCCUACGGGAGGCAGCAGUGGGGAAUAUUGGACAAUGGGCGCAAGCCUGAUCCAGCAAUACCGCGUGUGUGAAGAAGGCCUGAGGGUUGUAAAGCACUUUCAGCUGAGAGGAAGGGUAGUAUGGUGAAUAGCCAUAUAUUUUGUACGUUACCAGCAGAAGAAGCACCGGCUAACUCU